AGAACUAUAUGUAGAAGAGCCCCAGCUUCCCUAACUUCUUGUCAUUCAUUAUUAAAAAAAAAAAAACUUCUUAUCAUUGACCUUAAAAUAUGGCAGGCGAACCGGAGAAGAACAUCCUCAAAACCCCAGCCCUUCUAGAGUACAUCUUUCAAACAAACUCUUAUCGAAGAGAACAUGAGCAAUUGAAGGAGCUGAGAGAAGCGACUGUCAAGAACUAUAAUCAAAGCAGAGUGAUGGGUGUGCCAGUGGAUGAAGGACAGCUUUUGUCAAUGUUAUUGAAAGUGAUGAAUGCAAAGAGGGCUAUUGAAGUUGGAGUCUUUACUGGCUAUUCUCUUCUUACUACUGCUCUUGCUCUGCCUGCUGAUGGACAUAUAGUAGCCAUUGAUACAAAUAGAGAAGCCUUUGAUUUUGGAUUGGAGUUUAUUAAAAAGGCAGGGGUUGAUAACAAAAUUAACAUCAUUAACUCUGAUGCUUACUCUGUUCUUAAUGAUCUCAUUAACAAUUGAGUUUGAGAAGAAGGUGAGUGCUGAGUGGUCGAUAAAUUUGAAGAGGUCGCGACUCGCUUCUACUAAAUUUUUUUAGGUAAAUCUUAAUCUAUUAUCUUUCUUUUAGUGGAUUCUAAGCUUGUGUGUGAAUAUGUACUGCUCAGUUGUAGUGGAUUCUAGGCUUGUGUGUGAAUGAGUGCUGCUCAAUUGUAGUGGAUUCUAGGCUUGUGUGUGAAUGAGUGCUGCUCAGUUGUAGUGGAUUCUAGGCUUGUGUGUGAAUGUGUUCUGCUCAGUUGUAGUGGAUUAUAGGCUUGUGUGCUGUUAUGUUGAUUAGAUUUAGUUAUGUAUUUUUAUUAAAUCAUUUGUAUUAGGAGAUGGAUACUGAGGAAGUCGAUGAAAUUCAUGCAGAAGAGAAUCAAGAUCAACCUCCUCCUCCCACUGAUAACCCCACAGAUAAAGGUCAACUUAGGAGUAGAAGGAAGAAGGGUAAACCUUCUUCUAGUUAUUAAGCCUCCCCUCCCUAGGAAAAAGGCAAAAGGGUCUUCCAUUUGAGAAUAUUUCACCAAGGAAAACCCUCCUCCUCCCCCACCCCCAUCAACAACCAAUUCUUUGGAAGAGCCUCCUUCGCCUAAGUGUAUGUGUAACUAUUGUGGAUUUGGUUUUUUUUUUGUGACACAAGAAAACAUGAGACAAGUCAUCUAUGAAACCAUUUUAGGAACAUUUGUGAGUUUAGUCCAUGGAGGAUAGAUGCCAAAAAACAGAAGAUUUUAAGUUUUGAACAGGUUAAGGGAGGAAAGGAGGAGAAAACAAGCUUAGUAGCAUUGGCUUAUAACAAAGAAGCUUGUAGGAUAGCCCUUACACAAUAUAUUCUGUUAGAUGAGUUACCAUUUAGACAUGUUGAGGGCAAGGGCAUCAAAAAAUUUGUGAAAACUCUUCAACCUAGGUUUGUAAUCCAUUCUUGAAUGACCGUUGCUAGGGAUGUUUUGAAGUUAUAUGAAAAAGAGAAUGUGACAUUGAAAAAUGUUUUGAGCAAUGAGAGGCUAUCUAUUACUACAGACACAUGGACUUCUAUCCAAAAUAUGAAUUACAUGGUCAUCACAGCUCAUUGGAUUGAUAAUAAUUAGGCAUACCAAAAAAGAAUUAUUACCUUUUGCCAAGUGAUAGAUCAUAAAGGGGAAACUAUUGGUAAAGAGAUCAAGCGAUGUCUGAAUGAUUGGGGUAUAUCUAAGUUGUUUACCAUUAUGGUAGACAAUGCUUCCUCUAAUAAUGUUGCCUUUAGGUACUUGAAGAGGAAGUUCAGAGAGAAAGAGAAAUGACUUAUUUUGGAAGGAAAGUUCUUACAUAUGAGGUGUUGUGCUCAUAUAGUAAACUUAAUUGUCAGUGAAGGAUUGAAGGAAAAACAAGAGUCCAUUGCUGCAAUUAGAAAUGCUAUGAGAUAUGUUAGGUGUUCCCCUUCUAGGCUUAUAACGUUUAAGGAAUGUGUGAAAGAGGAAGGGAUCGAAUGCAAGGGACUUCUCUGUUUAGAUGCCCAAACAAGGUGGAAAUCGACAUUCCUCAUGCUUAAUUGUGCACUCAAAUUUUGAAAGGCAUUUGAAAGAAUGGAAGGCGAUGGAAAUUAUUCGAAAUAUUUUAAUGAGGCUGACAAAGAUGGGAAGCCAAAGGAGGAACCACCAUCCAAAAAACAUUGGCAAGAUACGUCAAUUUUUGUGAGAUUUAUUGAGACAUUUUAUGAUGUAACAUUGAAGUUUAGUGGGUCCACAUACGUCACCACCAAUAAGUACUUUAUUGAAAUAUGCAACAUGCAACAGGAGUUGAAUGACUUAACACUUGAUGAUGAGGGGGAUGAGUUGUUGCGUGGCAUGGCAAAGAAUAUGAAGCAGAAAUAUGUCAAGUAUUGGGAAAAGCUUGAUCAAUGUAAUGAGGCACUUCUGAUUGCCUUGGUUCUUGACCCCAGAUACAAGCUUGGUUAUCUCCAUCAUUGCUUUAGUGAUAUUCAUGAUGAUGUAACGUGUACUAUGAUGGUUAAAGGGGUGAAGCAAACUAUAUGAGCAAUGUUUGAUCAAUAUCAUGAGUCAAUUGAUACACAUGUUGAUCAAUCAAUGACUCAGUCUCAAGCUAUUGUUUCUGGUUCGUCCUCAUAUGUCAUGUCUACUCAGCCUACCACCAGUAGUACCACUAGCAAGAGUAAGAGGUCACAUAACUUGCAUGAUGAGUAUGUGGCACGAAAAAUGGAGAAGGAGGGUGGUAAGACAAAAAAUGAGGUCGAUAAGUAUUUGGAAGAGGCAGUUGAGCUACCAAGUCAGAAUUUGAUGUUUUGGGAUGGUGGGCAAGUAGUGGAUGCAAAUACAAGAUCUUGUCGACCAUGACUCGUGAUGUGUUAGCUAUACCAGUUACCACAGUUGCUUCUGAGGUGGCAUUUUCAACUGGAAGCUGAAUUUUGGAUGCUUUUAUGAGUUCACUGAGUCCAAGGAUGGUUGAAGCAUUAAUUUGUCUCAAGACUAUAUGGAUGAAGCAGAAGUGCUUCAAACCUUUGAUGAUCUUGAGUCUGAGAUGAUGACCGAUGCUAGUGUUCCCUUUGUUCAUGCUCCAUCUUCAGUUUCAGCCUCAACAGCCUCAUCGUCUGCACAACAAUCUGGGAAUUGAAGUUUGUUUAAGGAAUUAUUGUUGUAUUUUUUAGACUUUAUGAACCAAAUCUUUUAGUGUUUACUGUUUAGUAUUUAAUAUUUACUAUUUGGAAGUUUGUACCUAUUUUGGACUUUGUACUUUAUAACUUAUUUUCUUUUCUUA